rnacentral:lncRNA from 1 species
GCCAAGAUCUCGUGGUAUGAAGCAAGGAACUACUACUGAGAAUACUUUUGAUCUGAAAUAAAAAGCACUUCAAACAAAAACACAAACACCAACGAAUGACACUCAUAUAUAUAUAUAUAUAUGCACUGGGACACUCAACUCGGAAAUUUUGAUCAUCUAUGAAUAGUCAAUGCUUGAACUCAAACUCAUGGUCUCAAUAAGGACAUUCUAAUAGCAUAAAGGUUAUAAAAAAAAUCUAAGGCCACACUUUCUUACUUUGAUGGCUCUUCAUACAGCAGCAAACUGACAUGUAAAAAAAAUCCACCACAGUUGUCAAACUUCCCUACAAUGACAAAGAACAAGAUGACAAAAUGCCGCC